CCCCAAGGUCAUAUGUAUAAAUAAAUUAAACAAAAAGACGUAUAAUUCACGACCAAAUGUAUGCUCCUCUGCAAUUAUUCCAAUCCACAUACCAGAAAACAGAACAUAAUGUGGUAACAAAUAGCUAAAAUAAAGAAUAAGAGGAAGAUUAUACAUUGCUCUUGAUAAUAUUCUGGCGGGCAAGAAACGUUGCGACCGGAGGUGUAAGGGCAAAAGUCAUAAGAACCCUAACUGGAAACAGAGCCUUAUUCAGCAGAACCGCCAGCGCCUAAGCCCCACCGCUAGAAGCCACCAGGUCAGCAGUCCAAUUUCUCUCCUUCUUCACAUCAUUCAUUACCGGUUGUUCCAUUAUGAACCCGUCGGAUUUGGAACCAGUAUCAAUAGUUGAAAUUUCAGAUAAGGGCAGUUCAGGGAUUUCGCCUUCUUUCCGAGGCCGGACAUGCUCUUUUAUUCAAAAAUUGA
rnacentral:lncRNA from 1 species